rnacentral:rRNA from 1 species
GACGAACGCUGGCGGCGUUCUUAACACUUGCAAGUCGAACGGAGUGGCGAACGGGUGAGUAACACGUGGGUGAUAUGCCUUGUGCUUCGGGUUAAGCUUGGGAAACUGGGUAUAAUACGGGAGAGUGCAAGAUGAGCUCGAGGCCUAUCAGCUUGUUGGUGGGGUAAUGGCCUACCAAGGCGUCGACGGGUAGCCGGCCUGAGAGGGUGUACGGCCACCUUGGGAGUGUGAUACGGCCCAGACUCCAACGGGAGGCAGCAGUGGGGAAUAUGGCACAAUGGGCGGAAGCCUGAUGCAGCGACGCCGGGUGGGGGAUGAAGGCCUUCGGGUUGUAAACGCCUUGCGACAGGGACGCGGUACCUGUAUAAGAAGCACCGGCUGACUACGUGCCAGCAGCCGCGGUAAUAC